AAGAAAACCCUAAACCUCAAGUCUUCAUAGUUCAUACCGCCGCUUUUGCUGCUAAGCACCAACGGCAGUCAAGAACUACACAUAUCAACGGCUCAAGGUCCAGAUGUUCAGUUUCAUUUCAUGGUCUAAAAUCAGUGUUCUUUACAAACCUAAAGUCGUUAUAUCUGAAGUUUAGUCUUAAUUUAUUAGGGAUUUCAUUUGCCAAAAAGUGUUGAUUAUAAACAGAUCCAAACUAAUUUUGAGAGCAGAUUAAAUAGAAGAAGAAUCUGUUGUUGUUUAUGAUCUGUUCAUGAUUUAAGAUUGUAAUGUUGUUGUUAAUUAGUGUAUUGAUUCUUAAGAAGAAGAAAAAGAAGAAGAAAGUUUUUGAUAAUUUGCUGUUUGGUAUGUGCGGCCACGGAAAUUUAUCACACAUACUUCCGAAUCCAUAUCUGAUUUCAGUUCUGUAUCUCAUGUGGUUUAAGGGAGCAGAAGACAUCUGCUCAAUCUGUUCCACAAAGACAUCAGUGGAGUAAGAUGUUCAAUCAGUCUUCUGGAGAAUAUGACGGCAAGAAGUAUGUGUUCAGUGUCGAGAAAUCCCUACAAGACACUCAGAAAUUUUAUAUUGACAGACAAACACAAGGAUGCGAAAAGGUGUAAAAUGGAUGAAAGAUACAUCUGGAUCAAUGUACUAUGCUAACGUUAUCAAUUGAAGGUUGGUCAUCUUGGCAACACAACAAGAUCUUAUGCAGCUUGAUGCUGGUUUAGCCCAGACACCACAGUAAGCUAAGCGGUGGCUCUAGCCCAUCUUUCAGUCAUUGAAUGGUGCAAAGAAACACCAUCUUCACAAGAUCCUGUUUGUGUCGGAUGAUUUCAAUCUUGUUAAUGCUUUACAUGAUAACUCGCGAGGCAUUAGAUGCGAGGAUCAGAAUCUCGUUAAUGGUUGCAUUUUACUUGUGUCUACUUCAUAUAAAUCGGCUUGUAAGUAUUUUAAAUGGGAAAUAAAUGGUGUAAGAGUAAGACAUCUGAAGGGUGUAAUCUUGUUGACAUGGCCAAUUUUAAUACAGGGCCAAAAAUUGAAGAGUGUGAAUUAUAAUUGAUAAACA